rnacentral:tRNA from 1 species
GGGGUUGUGGCUCAGUGGGAGAGCGCUUGCCUAGCAUGUAUGAGGCACUGGGUUUGAGCCCCAGCACCA